CCUGAUGAAUGUGUUCCUUGUUGAUGCCCCAACUACGAUAUCUGUGAUGGCGUUACCAGUAGCAUAAUCAAUUAUUGCUUUGGAGAUAUCAGUACCAUCCAAGAUCACCUCAUUCAGAUGCAUCUGCGAUUUGCAAUGGCAGCCUAAGUACUUUUCAGCAUAUAAUGAGAAGGAGAAAUGUACCAACCGUUCUGGGUACUUUGGUUGGUCCUGACAUGGACCAACUGGAGGGUGCUGCCCCUUGCCAGUAGCCGAUCUACCGCCCAUUUCGCCGCCUGCUGGCUGUUCUUGUCCCUGUCAACGGCCACGAUGGUCGCGCUGUCCUUCCCAUCCUCAGGUUCCCCGCUGUGCGACGCUGUCGAGAAGGCCGAGAGGCACACGGUGGUCUCUCCUGUGAAUUUCUGUAGUGUGGAUGCAUCGUCUUUUCAUGCUCUAAUCUCGUGUAAACAUGCAUGCUCAUGCAACUUGGGAGGUGAUGCCUUCAGAGUGGAAUCUGCCAUCUAAUGAUAAGUUGAUAGAUACAGGAGAAAAUUAUUUGUUCACCAUUAUAAAGGAAUGUAUUCAUCUGGAAAUAUCUGCAAAGGAAACUAAACUAUUCAUCCGAAAAUUAGGAGCUCAUUCCACAAGUAAUGUUAUUUUAUGAGGAUUGCAGUUUAUUACGGUUUUGUGUGGCUCCUGCUUCCCUGGUUGUGUUAAGUAAGGGGUGUCUAGGUGGAGGACGACUUGUUCAAUGCCACCUUGUUGCUAAGAAUAGCAGGUGACAAGGUAUCACUGGGCCACUAGCUAAAUUCCUUCGAAUUUGUUUGUCAACAUGGCUACUUUGAAUGUAGUUACCUCAUGCAUCUGCAAAAUGCCAGAUGUGGUUGCACGAAUUGUUGCAGUGUCUAUCUAUGGCAGGUUUAUGCGUACAUUUGGUAAUAGCUGCCAUAUUGGAAAUUACCUGUAUCUACCAAAUGUGUACCUUAUGACAAUGAAUAAUUGAGAUGGCAUGGCUGAAAUAGAUACUGAGUUUUUUUUAUAGCAAAAUCAGAUACUCGCUGGUUGAGUCGGUGUCUCAACAGGCAUGUGGAGGUCUGUCCGUCGCGUGGAGUGCAGAACAAAUCGUGUUUUCAUGCUAUGGUCUCGUGUAACCAUGCUGGUGAAGGAUCAUGCUCGUGCAACUUGCGAGGUGAUGCAUUCAGAGUAGAAUCAGUUGGCAUCUAAUGACAAGUUGAUAGUGAUGAUUGUUCAACAUAUUAUCACAUGCCAUUAUAGAGAAAUGUAUUGCGGUGAUGAUGCUCAUCUGAAAAUAUCUCCAAAUAAAAUAAAAUUAAACGAUUCA